UACGAAAACUCCCUUCUCCGAGUUCCCUGUCUUUGAUUUAUUUUUAACUACAGGCUCAUGGGAACGCGGCGCUGGAAAAUCACGUCCAGAUGUACCUAAAGAGGCGCUUUCUCUGCUGAAACCCUCUCUUCUAAAGGGAGUGGGAAAAAAAAUCUCUGAAAUAAUUUGAAUUUUGGUUUUAGCGUGGAUCUAAUUGCAAAAAGAAGGAGCAAAGCGGCGGCUGCGUUCUGUGCAGAGAAGCGCAGAGAGGAGGGAGCAGUUCUGAAAAUAGAGCGCAAAGGUGCUGGGCUCCUCCGGGGCAGGCUGUAAGGGUGGAGAGGAGGCAGCGCAGAGCCCGGGGUUGUCGGUCUCUCCCAUGCCUCGGGAAGAUACUCCCGGGUUUGCCCGGAGCCGGGCGGGCUGCUAUCGGGGCUGCUUCUCUGCGCCGGGCUGCGCGCAGGCGGUGCCGCUGCCUCCGCUCCUGCUCUUUCGGUGCAGUAUGAAAGAUUCGGCUGUAAGAGUGGGUUUGCAGCAGGAGGGAAGAUAAGUGGCCCUGAGAAAUGAAGGGGCUUUUCCCAGAGGACGUGGAUUUCUGUGCUGGAACCUUCUCAUGCAAUGGCUUGAUUCGGCCAGGAGGGGAGAAGCACCCCCCUAGGCGGUGGGUUAAUUGUUGGAUUUCAUAGUCUGGAGAAAAAUGAAAAGGGAGUACCUGUACCUGAUGCCUAAGUCCUCAGUGGGAUUUGCCUGUUGCAGUACUGCCAAGUUGGUUUGAGACUUACACCAGUAAGGCCAUGUCUCAGCCUGGUGAGCCCAGAACCGGACCCAACGCUCCAAAUGCAUCCUGCCAUUGGAAAAUAUCCCAUGGGAUCCUGCCAAGUAGGUACCUGAAAGAGCCAGAGUCUGUUUGGUUGUGAUCCUGCCAGUUGUUCUUUUCCUUCCCUUGAGGACCUUCAACUCACAAUUUCGUGGUGCUACAACCAAGACUGCCUUCAGCCCUUUAAUCCCUGAACAGUCCUUCCUCAUUUGCAAGUAUGAGAUUCAGAAGGGUGUUUCUUCCCACUGUCCCUUCACCAAGAGGGUGUCAAGAAGUUAUCCUUAAUGCAUCUUGAAAGUAGCCAAGAUCCCUUGUACUCUGUUGUGUUGCCCUUUUGGCAGUUACUAUAGCAGUUAAAUCCUACUAUGAGCACUUUAUAAUAAUAAAUUAUUAAAUGAAACUAUUGUAAGAAUAAAUUAUUAAAAAAAUA